CCAACCUAAAAUACUGCUUUCUAGAAUUGAAAGGACACUCGAUUGGCAUCAGAGCUCCAAACCGGUGAAGCUUCCUUAGUGCUAGUGCGGCACAUCGGGCCUCUCGAGGGCUGGUUUCCAGCUGCCCGAGGUCGUAGGGGAGAAGCCAGUCUGCACCUGCUUCGAGAGUUACCCGUGCUUCAAGGAUUGCCCACUGUUUCACAGCCACAAGAAAGAGGCGCACUGAACCGUAAGUUCUUGAUCACCCAUCAGCUAGGGACAUCUAGUAGAGAGCCUCUGCCCUGAAAGUUUUGAUUGCCUUCUCUGCCAUGGGUGAGCAAUGGUGAGUGAUAGGGAGUGGAGACAAACUAGACCCACCCAGCUCUUAUGAAAGCCAAUGAGUCUGGAUCUCAAGCCUAUAGGGAGAUGACUGACACCUAUUUACCCAGAACACAUUAUGGUCUACAGCUCAUCCUAAAGGAUGCUUAGAGUCAACAUGAGGCUACUGUGCUACAGCAAACAGAUUCAGGUAGUACCCAACGUUUACCUGUUUCUUCUCUCUCUUCCAUGUCAUCAGCAUGUCCUCUCAGCAAGACUUACCCUUCAUCUCACAAAUGUCACCACAACUAUUUGAUUCCUUGGCUUCUGUCUUCAUCAGUAGGCUGGUUAACUCUUUCAAAAUUAAAACUAAGCAAACACUAUGAGCAGCCCCUGAGGACUGCACAAUUUCCCAAGUGUCUUGAUGAUCCAGUAUCCUGAUAACCAGCUCUGAUAUCGUGGAAGUUUGGCUGGCUCAGACCUCUGUCACCUUUAUUUUCACUUUGUCUCCAUUUCCACUUGAAUCUUGAACGAGAGUGGAAAGGUGGAAUCAUGGGAAAGAUGUUGAAGCUGCAAUUCUAGGGUAUAGCUUGUGAGAAGUUUGUAUUAUCCCAAAUAGAAAUUUCUAUACUUACUUUCAAUUUAAUGUUACCCUGAGUAUAAUUUCUAUUGCAUUUAUUGUUAUUUUUAUAAAAGUAGGGUCCAUUUGCUAUGUCAAGUUGAGUGCUCUUUUUUCUAUUUCCCCACAUGGAUGCAGUUCCCACCUGUUACCUAAAUACCUUUUUAUUAUAUUGUUAAUAUGUAACUCUACUGUAGACCAAAAAUAUAAAACGAAUUUGCUCAUUUUAAACAUGUAAAGAAUCUAGUGAGUAAAGAUGAAGAGAAAAGACAGGAGAGCAGUGGUUAACUAUGUUGUUAGGAAUCGAAGAGUAGCCUUACCUGUUUUUAACCAGUGCUCGCCAGUCACGCCAUAGUUGGGAUUAUGUUAUCAUGGCUUCUUCAUGCUUCUGUUCUACAAGUCUUGUUUGUUUGUUUCCUUUGAUGUAAUUGAGGUUGCAC
ensembl:lncRNA